AGGAACCUGCCUGAAGAACAAGAUGAUGAAAUUGCAAGUCAGGAGCCCACCUGAAAAAUAGGGUGAUGAAAAUUGAAGUCAAGAGUCUGCCUGAAUGAAGAACCGAGUGAUGAAAUUGAAAGUCAGGAGCCCACCUGAAGAAUAGGGUGAUGAAAUGGCAAGUCAGGAGCCCAAACAGGGUGAUAAAAUGGCAAGUUAGGAGCCUGCCUGAAGAAUAGGGUGAUGAAAUUGAAAGUCAGGAGCCCGCCUGAAGAACAUGGUGAUGAAA
rnacentral:lncRNA from 1 species